rnacentral:tRNA from 1 species
GGCGGAUGUAGCCAAGUGGAUCAWGGCAGU